rnacentral:lncRNA from 1 species
AAAAGUAAUGUUUAUUUCCAGCCUCUUUAAUUCCAAACCCCUCGAGAUAAUCAACAUGUAGACUUUCUAGCUACCUCUUCUUCCAGCCAAAGCAACCUUUUGAUAAAAGUAUCAUGCCUCUUACCUGGUAAAUUAGGUAAUUCAAACAGAGAAAACAUGUGCGAGAUAGGAUAUCUAAAUCUGAUUGAAACUACAUAAUAAUUUGUAACAAACGCACAUGGCCGAAAAACAGAGUACUUCAAUAUAUGUGACCAGCCCUCUUAUCCCCUCGCCAAAAAAGAAAAAGCAAUCUCCUCUUAUCAUUCCUAUUAAUUGACCAAGCAUGCAGAAGAUACAUGAAUUAUGGUCUCAGAACAUUUUCCAUUAUUUUCAUAUCUGAUGUGCCGCAUGUAGUCAUGGGCGGCAACAACAGUAGGGAAUUGAUCCGGCCUUUAUCUCACAGCGGGCUGCUCUUGGGUCCAUGUUCAUGAUCUGGCACCUAACUUCACACGAUGCCUGAUCACAUUCAUAGUCAGCCACACAUGUCUCUCCGGUCGUAACGCUCACCACUUCAUCUACACAUACAUUCGUAUUCACAAAUGAGCGGGGUCGUUAGCAUACAAUCCAUCUAAGAGUAUAUACAUCCAUGACUUAGUGCACUAACCUGACACUCCUUCGUAGAAAGAAAAGGUAGCCAUGACUAGGAGAGCCAUGGCGAGUAUGGCAGCCCAAGAACUAAGGUUGUUGUUAUUGGCUAACGCCAUCAUGUGCUCUCCUUAUAUAUGACUUUGUUUGU